UCGUAACAAGGUUUCUGUAGGUGAACCUGCAGAAGGAUCAUUAGUGAAGAUUUGGGCAGGCCAUACGGACGCCAAAAAGUGUCCCUGGCCGCCUACACCCACUAUGCAUCCACAAACCCGUGUGCACUGUCUUGGAGAAAGGCUUCAGAGAAGUUUUUUGUGGCCUCUCUUGGGGUCUUUCUUCGCUACAAACUCGAAUGGUUAGUAUGAACGUGGAACUUGGUUGGACCGUCACUGGCCAACAAACUAUACACAACUUUCGACAACGGAUCUCUUGGUUCUCCCAUCGAUGAAGAACGCAGCGAAACGCGAUAGGUAAUGUGAAUUGCAGAAUUCCGUGAAUCAUCGAAUCUUUGAACGCACCUUGCGCUCUAUGGCAAUCCGUAGAGCAUGCCUGUUUGAGUGCCAUGAAAUCUCCCACCCCAAGCGGUUUUUAAAUGAAACGGCUUGGCGGAUGGGGUCUGGAUGGGUGCCUCUGCCUGCGCUACCUAGCACAGGCUCGCCCGAAAUGCAUGAGCGCCUUGAGACACUUUGCAUCCGCCUCUCUGUUUGGGAGGAGGCGGCCAAGCAGUGUUUUUCUCCUGGCAUGGCAUGAUACGUCAUUUGCUAUGUCGCCUAAAGGAGGAAUGUUUGGUUGUGUCUGCGUGUGCUUCGAACUUGCCUCUGUGGCACAUCCCAAUUUCACUUCUGGUCUCAAAUCAGGUAGGAUCACCCGCUGAACUUAAGCAUAUCAAUA
rnacentral:rRNA from 1 species